GACGAACGCUGGCGGCGUGCUUAACACAUGCAAGUCGAACGGAAAGGCCCUGCUUUUGUGGGGUUCUCGAGUGGCGAACGGGUGAGUAACACGUGAGUAACCUGCCCUUGACUUUGGGAUAACUUCAGGAAACUGGGGCUAAUACCGGAUAGGAGCUCCUGCUGCAUGGUGGGGGUUGGAAAGUUUCGGCGGUUGGGGAUGGACUCGCGGCUUAUCAGCUUGUUGGUGGGGUAGUGGCUUACCAAGGCUUUGACGGGUAGCCGGCCUGUGAGGGUGACCGGCGACAAUGGGACUGAGAGACGGACCAGAGUCGUACAGGGGGCAGCAGGGGGGAAUCUUGCACAAUGGGCGGAAGCCGGAGGCGGAGGCGCCGCGUGCGGAAUGACGGUCUUCGGGGUAAGAACAGCAUUAGCCUAAGACGAAGCGGGAGUGACGGUAAUGAAUAAAGAAGCACCGGCUAACUACGUG
rnacentral:rRNA from 1 species